rnacentral:rRNA from 1 species
AUACGUAGGGAGCGAGCGUUGUCCGGAAUUACUGGGCGUAAAGGGCGCGUAGGUGGCGCUUCAAGUCGUCUGUCAAAUGGGAGGGCUUAACCCUUUUUCGCAGACGAAACUGGAGAGCUUGAGAAGCAGAGAGGCAAACAGAAUUCCUGGUGUAGCGGUGAAAUGCGUAGAUAUCAGGAAGAAUACCAGUGGCGAAGGCGGUUUGCUGGCUGCAUACUGACGCUGAAGCGCGAAAGCCAGGGGAGCAAACGGGAUUAGAUACCCCGGUAGUCCUGGCAGUAAACGAUGUAUGCUGGGUGUGAGACUAGCGAUAGUUUCGUGCCGAAGUUAACGCGAUAAGCAUACCGCCUGGGGAGUACGGUCGCAAGAUUGAAACUCAAAUGAAUUGGCGGGG